GCUGAUGCUCAAAUCUAUGGUUCCAGAUUUCUUUCCUAGGGUUUCUAUCUCCAGUGUUGCCUCACUUUGAGUUUUCUUUAUUGUUUCUACUUCCCUUUUUAGGUCUAGUAUGGUUUUGUUCAUUUCCAUCACCUGUUUGUAUGUUUUUUCCUCUUUUUCUGUAAGGACUUCUACCUGUUUGAUUGUGUUUUCCUAAACCCAUGCACAUACAGGCUCCACCCGGAGAAGACCAUGCUCCUGUGUGUCUGGCAUUGUCAAUACCAAACAUGUCCUUACCAACUUGAAAAUAAUAUGUCUUUCCUCCCAAGGAGAACUGUGUUUCUCUGUCCCUUAAACACACUUCCCCCGGUGAUAAAGCGUCCAACCUCUUGCUCAACGUACUAUACUCCUAACUGCAAUGUGCGAGAAAAGAAUCAAAACAGAAGCCUGGAGAUGCAUGGACUGGAAUUCAUACCAGGCAUCCUAUCACUUAUGAGGCCACCCUGAGAUACACAAGUCAAACACCUUGACGUCCAAACGCCCAUAGUUCAAAGAAACAGACACCAGAGAAGUACCCAACACGGAGGACACGCCCUCCUCUGCCUGCCAUGAAAGCAUCUUAGCCUCCAACUUCAAGCCUUCCGCCGAAACUCCCACCCUCCUCGAUAGGGUUCAUC
rnacentral:lncRNA from 1 species